AUCGCGAGCAGAACUGUUGUUUAUUGGCGGGGCAAUUCACCGAGUAGCGCAGCAGCAAAAAUGACACCGGCGGCUGCUAGACCAAACUACCGGAUCUCAGUGUCGACGUUCUUCGUCAAGUCGCGCCCGAGCGACGAGUGUUGCCGCUGAUUCCGAUUUGGAAUUUACGCGAGGCCGCAGCGUUUGUGUGCAGAUAAAGUAUGAAUACGGUGUGCAGAUAAAGUAUGAAUACCUGUGCUAAUAUGGACAUUGUGCUAGGAAACAGGAAGAUUAUUGUUCAGGAGAAUUCGGGGAAUCCGCUGUGGCAGCAGUCACGUUCAUCGGAGGAGAACAAGUAGGAUACGCUAUUAAGGGUCGGCGAUCAGAUGUUUAGGCCGCUGUGUCAUCUGAAUCGGGAUUGGCUGAUAUUCUGGAGCAUGUAACCGGUGAACGUUCUGAUAAGCAGAAAUUUGGCGAAGUUGUAUAAUAAUGGACUGACUUUCGGCGGAAUAAGGUGUGUCAUUCCCAAUAAUGAAAAUGCAUUGCUAUUGUCCGAAAGUAAUAGUGAAGGGAAAACCAUCAGGGCACCGGAUCCGGACCGGAUGCAACUGAAACUGAAUAAGAAAGCUGAUUAAAAUGACAUCUAUUUGUCACUACUCAAUAAAUCAACGAAAGAAGCAAGAAAGCAUCUUGAGUACAAAACGGCCUCUACGGUGAAUGAAUACGCCUCGGCCAUUUUAGCCUGGAAAAAAUAGCAUCCAGCUAUGCUACGAUACUCGCUCUAGUACACACAGCACGUACUGUGAUCCCAGGAUGAAGAGGUAAAAUCAUUCCAACUAACGUCAAUUGCGAAGAAAAACCUUCAAGAACCGUCGUUUCCACAUCCAGCAGUUCUACUUUGUUCUACGACUGCAAAAUUUAAUGCUCGCUGGUGCAGAUAUCAUUACAAGCAGAAGUCAGUUGUGACGGUCAUGACAGCAGUCUUUACCACGUAGAUAUGUAUCAAGCAUGCAGCCAUUCCUGACAACCAUGGCUGGUAUUCAUCACGCUUCAAGACCAAAUCGGUUACUUGGCAAGCAGGGACUAUUGCGCUGUCAAUUGAUCUCACAAUCGUCACGUCUCAAACGGGGUUGAAUUUCAUCAAAAUAUGUAUAUUGUUGAACAUUAUUUGAUACAUAAAAUUGUGAGGGGAAGGGGUCUAGGAAGGGGUAGUUUCACCAGUAACUUUAAAAUAUCCGAAAACCCCCAAAAAAUAAUAAAACGUCUUAAUGCACCGUAAGUAUGGUCCAUCAGCAUGGCACGGUCAACAGCAAACUAGUCUAUCCGACUCUAAAAAUCAUGAAUUUGCUUCGAAAAAUUUGGACGUGACUUCUUUAAGAAGUUGUUCCAUAGGUCCAAGACUAUUUUGAUCUUAUUAGGCUCACCCACCACGUCCUCACACAUUGCAUGGAAAUGCAAGAAACAUAAUUUUGAAACAGUUCACUUCUUGACUUCCAGUGUAAUACCCUUUGGGUUCACCAGGUCCACCCGAACUGCAUGGUGAUGCAAGAAACUUACUUUUGAAACAGUUCACUUCUGGAGCUGUUCCA